rnacentral:rRNA from 1 species
UACGAAGGGGGCUAGCGUUGCUCGGAAUCACUGGGCGUAAAGGGUGCGUAGGCGGGUCUUUAAGUCAAGGGUGAAAUCCUGGAGCUCAACUCCAGAACUGCCUUUGAUACUGAGAAGCUUGAGUCCGGGAGAGGUGAGUGGAACUGCGAGUGUAGAGGUGAAAUUCGUAGAUAUUCGCAAGAACACCAGUGGCGAAGGCGGCUCACUGGCCCGGUACUGACGCUGAGGUGCGAAAGCGUGGGGAGCAAACAGG